GUUGUCUAUGGUUGAGGUAUCAAAGCCUGGCGCCAUUGACAUGCGCUGAUUCGCAGUCUGUUUGGUGCUGUUUGUCGUUUUGAUAGCGACGAAGGCAAAGGUUCAAAAGUUCCUAGUCGAAUUAGUCGGUUCGCCAUCGUUAACGCCUCCCUGCCAACAUCACCCAGUAACAACGUGAUCUGUUCAUCGGUUCGUUCAGCCUAUCGUGCCAAGGGAUUGCCCGACCGAGACGUGCCACAAUCCCAACUACCCAUUGCAGCAGAGAGAGCUGUAAUUUUUAAUAUUCUACUUCUGGCGAGUUGGAGCGAGGUCCAGACAUGCUAAAGACCGCAUAUCUGGUUGCAAUACAAAGAGCUUGGAAAUUGUGCAGGAUAAAAACAUUCUAUUAACAAGUUAGAAAUCUGUUCGGAAGCCUGGCUUAAGGUAGUGCUCCUUCUACCUGUGAAAUUGAUACCAGCUCCCAUCAGCGAUUUAAGUACUUAUUGAGCGGAAAUCGGUAUAAGGCACAUCCUUCUUAAGUUGCGUGAGUGAAUGCCUUUCGACGUUGCCCCUCUUCUCGUCUUGCUAUUCUUGGCCGUGCACGUCAUCUCACUAUUGGAAGUGUCCCCGAUCUUGGCUGGCUAUAUUUUUUGAAGUGGAAAUCUUUCAUUAUUUUCCUUCAUCAUACACACAAAAUUCCGCAAACCAGUUAUCUUUGAUAUUGAGAUUGGACAUCGAUCAAAGCAAGGAAAACCAUGGAGUGGACACACAUUUACCAUUUUCACACUCUUUGGAAUUAAUGGGUAUAUAGUGUUUUCGCGGUAAGUUAAUCAUGCAGUCGACCAUUUCCGCAGAACUUGUUUCCUCAUUGCAAACAUCGAGCUGGUAAGACCUUAUCCGACAUCGAAGUGGUUUUGAGUGGAGUAUUUCUCAAAGCUCACAUCAGCAAGAAAUUUAUAUGCGGUGGGUAUAAGAUAAUGCGAGUUUUCCUUCUUGAUGUUUCGAUUCUGCUUGGAGUACGUUCAUAGUUGAUUUUUAUAGAACGCAAAAAAUUAAAACUUUGCCCAAGAACAUGUUAUUUUAUGUUUUUCAGCA
rnacentral:lncRNA from 1 species